rnacentral:rRNA from 1 species
UACAGAGGUCUCAAGCGUUGUUCGGAUUCAUUGGGCGUAAAGGGUGCGUAGGUGGCGGGGUAAGUCAGGUGUGAAAUCUCGGGGCUCAACCCCGAAACUGCACUUGAUACUGCCUUGCUCGAGUACUGGAGAGGAGAUUGGAAUUUACGGUGUAGCAGUGAAAUGCGUAGAUAUCGUAAGGAAGACCAGUGGCGAAGGCGAGUCUCUGGACAGUUACCGACGCUGAGGCACGAAGGUCAGGGGAGCAAACGGG